UACGAAGGGGCUAGCGUUGUUCGGAAUUACUGGGCGUAAAGCGCACGUAGGCGGGCGAUUAAGUCAGGGGUGAAAUCCCGGAGCUCAACUCCGGAACUGCCUUUGAUACUGGUCGUCUAGAGAUCGGAAGAGGUGAGUGGAAUUCCCAGUGUAGAGGUGAAAUUCGUAGAUAUUGGGAAGAACACCAGUGGCGAAGGCGGCUCACUGGUCCGAUACUGACGCUGAGGUGCGAAAGCGUGGGAGCAAACAGG
rnacentral:rRNA from 1 species